rnacentral:rRNA from 1 species
GAUGAACGCUGGCGGCGUGCCUAAUACAUGCCAGUCGAGCGAACGGACGAGAAGCUUGCUUUUCUGAUGUUAGCGGCGGACGGGUGAGUAACACGUGGAUAACCUACCUGUAAGACUGGGAUAACUUCGGGAAACCGGAGCUAAUACCGGAUAAUAUUUUGAACCGCAUGGUUCAAAAGUGAAAGACGGUCUUGCUGUCACUUAUAGAUGGAUCCGCGCUGCAUUAGCUAGUUGGUAAGGUAACGGCUUACCAAGGCAACGAUGCAUAGCCGACCUGAGAGGGUGAUCGGCCACACUGGAACUGAGACACGGUCCAGACUCCUACGGGAGGCAGCAGUAGGGAAUCUUCCGCAAUGGGCGAAAGCCUGACGGAGCAACGCCGCGUGAGUGAUGAAGGUCUUCGGAUCGUAAAACUCUGUUAUUAGGGAAGAACAUAUGUGUAAGUAACUGUGCACAUCUUGACGGUACCUAAUCAGAAAGCCACGGCUAACUACGUA